UACGGGGGGAGCAAGCGUUGUUCGGAUUUACUGGGCGUAAAGGGCGCGUAGGCGGUCGUGACAAGUCACUUGUGAAAUCUCCGGGCUUAACUCGGAACGGUCAAGUGAUACUGUCGGACUAGAGUACAGAAGGGGCAACUGGAAUUCUCGGUGUAGCGGUGAAAUGCGUAGAUAUCGAGAGGAACACCUGCGGCGAAGGCGGACUACCUGGACCGGAACUGGACGCUGAUGCGCGAAAGCGUGGGUAGCAAACAGG
rnacentral:rRNA from 1 species